UACAGAGGUCCCAAGCGUUGUUCGGAUUCACUGGGCGUAAAGGGUGCGCAGGCGGCCAAGUGUGUGAGGCGCGAAAGCCCGGGGCUUAACCCCGGAAUUGCACCUCAAACUACAUGGCUAGAGCAUUGGAGAGGGUAGCAGAAUUCAUGGUGUAGCAGUGAAAUGCGUAGAUAUCAUGAGGAAUACCAGAGGCGAAGGCGGCUACCUGGACAAUUGCUGACGCUCAGGCACGAAAGCGUGGGGAGCAAAAGGG
rnacentral:rRNA from 1 species